GACGAACGCUGGCGGCGGGCUUAACACAUGCAAGUCGAACGGAAAGGCCCUGCUUUUGUGGGGUGCUCGAGUGGCGAACGGGUGAGUAACACGUGAGUAACCUGUCCUUGACUUUGGGAUAACUUCAGGAAACUGGGGCUAAUACCGGAUAGGAGCUCCUGCUGCAUGGUGGGGGUUGGAAAGUUUCGGCGGUUGGGGAUGGACUCGCGGCUUAUCAGCUUGUUGGUGGGGUAGUGGCUUACCAAGGCUUUGACGGGUAGCCGGCCUGAGAGGGUGACCGGCCACAUUGGGACUGAGAUACGGCCCAGACUCAUCUGGGACGCAGCGGUGGAGAAUAUUGCACUAUGGACGGAAGCAUGAUGCAACAACGCCGCGUGCGGGAUGACAGCAUUCGGGUUGUAAACCGCUUUCGUCUCUCACGAGGCGUGAAUGACGGUAAUGGGUAAAGAAGCACCGGCUAACUACGUG
rnacentral:rRNA from 1 species